AAUAAAGCAAGUAGGAAACGGAAGUCUUCAAUGGGGCUGCAUUCGAGUGACAUGGUGGUCAGGCUGCUGAGAGAGCAGACAGAGGAUGUGAAGAAUAGAGGGCUUUCAAUGAACUGAAGAAAGCACGGACUUCGGAAAGUAGGCACAGAGUUCUGAACUCAGCAGAAAACAGAACAGGUUGAGCCGAUCAGCACCAAUACCCGAAGAGAGGGCGGAAGAAUCAGUCAAACGAGAUGACACAGCACUUUAUU
rnacentral:ncRNA from 1 species